rnacentral:rRNA from 1 species
UACGUAGGGUGCAAGCGUUAAUCGGAAUUACUGGGCGUAAAGCGUGCGCAGGCGGUUAUGUAAGACAGAUGUGAAAUGCCCGGGCUUAACCUGGGAACUGCAUUUGUGACUGCAUGGCUAGAGUUUGGCAGAGGGGGGUAGAAUUCCACGUGUAGCAGUGAAAUGCGUAGAUAUGUGGAGGAACACCGAUGGCAAAGGCAGCCCCCUGGGUCAAGACUGACGCUCAUGCACGAAAGCGUGGGGAGCAAACAGG